GUAAGGGGCAGUAAUGCGUGGUACUACCCUGGGGUCUGGGAUAGCCGUCCGAGAGGGCGGGUAAUACCGGAUAUCUCGGGAGAGCAAAGGUCAGCCGCCCUGGGAGGGGCCCACGUGUAUUACCUAGUUGGCGGGGUAAUGGCCCACCAAGGGGGAGAUGCCUAGCGGGUGUAGAGCACGACCGCGCCACUGGCACUGAGACAGCUGGCCAGACACCUACGGGUGGCUGCAGUCGAGGAUCUUCGGCAAUGGGCGCAAGCCCGGAC
rnacentral:rRNA from 1 species